rnacentral:tRNA from 1 species
GGCAUGGUAGCUCAGUUGGCUAGAGCGUUGGCUGGGCUAAAGCCUUCCCCAUGCUGGCGUGGGUUCAAAUCCCACCGAGGCCG